AUUUCUUCUGCUCCUUUGGCUUGUUUUCAGGCUGAGACUUCUCUUUGCCUGUUUGGAAAGGCUCAGAAUGCGUUUUACAAGGACACACAGGAUGUGAUCUUGACCUGUGAUGCUGAGGAGAAGGCUGCUUUGAUGUCCUUGGUGGUGUGGCUGGCAGAAAUGAAGAGAGCUUGGCCCUCAUGGAAACAUGGAGGGUGUAUUUGUAUGUGCACCAGCAAGGUGUUUACCUGGUGUCCACUGCUGGAAGCAGAAAUUGGAAACCAACCCUGGAGAGCAAGAAGACCCUGAAGACUGCCAGCCUUCCUUCUCCUUGCCGUUAGUUGUGAGUGUUUUGUGC